rnacentral:lncRNA from 1 species
GUAGAUUUUGGGUUUCUGAUGGGGUGUGACUGUGGAACUAAGCUCAUGAGGCGGUUUCUAAGUUAUAUUCUUCAAGAAUCAAUGGACAUUUCAGAAUUGCUGGGAGAAGUCAUCAAAAUGUCGACAUUGACUAGCAGUUGACAACUGAAUACUUCUGGAGACGAGAAUCUAAAGACUAAGCAAGGAGGCGAGGAAAGGGAACAGCGUGGUUCCGCCCCCAUCAGGAAAUGACGACACGACAGUCAACACGCGGAAGUUCCGUGUUUAGUUGAUUAGUGACGUUGUGCCUGAGACAAAUGUGCCUUGCUUCAGCUAAACGGGAUGAAUGAACUAGUUGUGCUACCCGAAGAGAUUCAUUGAAACAGCAGCAAACAAG